GCUCAAGGAGAGCUCCUCGGCUCCCUUCCAGCCCCCCGGGAAAAGUCCGACGCAGGAAAAGCAGCCCGUCUGUUUUGUCUGCAGGCGUCUGAGGCGAGCUCUGCUCCUACACAGAACAGAGCGAUUCAUGCAGAAGGUCGGGAAGAGAGGUGCCCAUUUUCCAGGGGCUGCGAUGCCAAUUCCAGUUGCAGUAAGAAGGUGACGGGAGCCUGGAGGACUGGCUAUGCCAAGAUGCCACAUAAAACCUGGGGAAGGGGAUGUCAUAAACUGAAGUCAGGAAAGGAUGGCAUCACUCUGUGACACUCCUGCUAUGCAGAAUGAACUGGGAAGGUCAAGGUUUCAACAUGGAAAUAUCCCCCGAGGCUUCCAAAUGUUGUUGUUGGCUUUCUGGCUUGUUUGUUGAAUCUGUAGGGGGGCAGCCCUGCUCUUUGUAGUAGGCAAAGAGGCAAAAUGGGGCUCAGGGCAUGGCUGGGAAAUGAAAUUGAAAUUGUUCUAUUUUUGGACUGAAAAUGCUCAAACAUUCUCUAUUGUCAGCUGCUACGAAAAUCUUAUAAAUCUGUACGGCCCAACAGGGUAGCAGCCAGCUGCAUUGUAUUUGAAGUUAAACUUGCACUAGCCACAUUUCAAGUGCUCAGAAGCCAUAAGCAGCUGAUGGCUGCUUCAUUGGACAGUGCAGAUGAAGGCCAUUUCCAUUGCAGCAGAAAGUUCUAUUGGACAGUGCUCUUUUAGACACUAGCUUCUUGGUGCCCUUUGCUCAGACCCUAGACUCUGAGUGCUGCUUCAUAUAGUGUUGUGGUAAGAAUAGCAAUUACAUUAAUAAUAAUGAUGAGGAUGGGCUGGUUUUGCCAGGCACUGGGCUAAAGUGUUCCAUAUGUGGCAGGUUAAUUUAGUGAGAAGUUAAUUUUUUCAUCAUUGCCUUCUUUCUCUCUCCCCAUCCAAAAAUCCAAGAAAGAAGUGACCAAGGAGAAGUUGCUGUUGAAGAACCAAGAAUCAAAGUCAGCUGAAUAUAACAUAUCUCCUUCUCUUUGGC
ensembl:lncRNA